rnacentral:rRNA from 1 species
GCUAACUUCGUGCCAGCAGCCGCGGUAAGACGAAGGGUGCGAGCGUUAUUCGGAGUUAUUGGGCGUAAAGGGUGCGUAGGCGGUGCGUUAAGUCAACUGUUAAAUACCUCAGCCUAACUGAGGUUCUGCGGUUGAUACUGGCGUGCUUGAGGGUGGAAGAGAGAAGUGGAAUUCUCGGAGUAGCGGUAAAAUGCGUAGAUCUCGAGAGGAACACCAAUGGCGAAGGCAGCUUCUUGGUCCACACCUGACGCUAAUGCACGAAAGCGUGGGGAGCAAACAGGAUUAGAUACCCUGGUAGUC